rnacentral:rRNA from 1 species
CAUAGCGACUAUCGUGGCAUAUCAAUAAGCGGAGGAAAAGAAACUAACAAGGAAUUCCCCUAGUAACGGCGAGUGAAGCGGGAAGAGCUCAAAUUUGAAAUCUUAAAGGUUUUCCCUUGACGAAUUGUAGUUUAAAGAAGUGUUUUCUGUUGAAGUUUUGGUAAAAGUUCUUUGGAAUAGGACAUCAUAGAGGGUGAGAAUCCCGUAUUUGACCAUUAUUUUCCAACUUUGUGAUACACUUUCAAAGAGUCGGAUUGUUUGGGAAUGCAGUCCAAAAUGGGUGGUAAAUUUCAUCUAAAGCUAAAUAUUGGCGAGAGACCGAUAGCGAACAAGUACCGUGAGGGAAAGAUGAAAAGAACUUUGAAAAGAGAGUUAAACAGUACGUGAAAUUGUCAAAAGGGAAGCGUUUGACACCAGUGUUGUUUUCUCGAAAAUCAAUUAAGAAUGCCGAUUUUGUGUUGGAGGAGUUAUGACUUUAUCAGGCUUGCUGCACUUUUUCUUGUAACUUUCUUAACUGCACUUUUCGGUUAACAAGUCAACAUCAAUUUCUUUUGUUGUAAAAGAGUCAUUGGAAGGUGGCUUUCAUUUCGGUGAAAGUGUUUAUAGCCUUUGGCUUCUGCAAUCGGAGAGAUUGAGGUCUGCAGCGUAGAUCCUUCGGGGUUAGAUACAUUUGUGCUAAGUUAUAGCCUUUCAUAGACAACUUGUUGACUAUGAUCAGUCAUGUAGCUUACUCGCUUAUGUCAUUUUACCUACGCUUAGGAUGUUGAUAUGCAUGACUGAUAU